AAAGGACAAGAUUGCAACUGCCUUUUAAAACCUCCCUUAAGAUGUAAAUAGCCUAUUUAAAUUGAAGGAGCCCUAAGUAAGGUGUUAUUAUUUACUUACCUAAGCAGAGUUCACAAUAUUUCUGUAGGAAAGAAAAUAAUAGAUGUGAGAUGAUUGUUCUGUUCCUAGGACAGAUGAGAAUUUUGGAGACCUUUCCUGAUAAUAAUUUUUAAAAGGGAUUCAGGGAAAAGAGAGUAAAAGAAACAAGUCUAAGCACAUCUCAGGACUAAGGACAGUUUUCUCAUUCCAUCCUUAUCUAGGAGAAGAUAAGAAGUCUGGCAAUAAGAAGGGUGGAACAUUAUUAAGUAAUGUUGUCUAACUCAAAAAGAAACCCUUUUCAGAAUAGAAUAACAGCCACAAAUACUGUCGAAGGAAGAAAAAAUUAUUGAGAACAGUUAAGGAUGAAAAAGGAGAAAGUAUCAGAGAUCUCAGUCCAUGGCUGGCUGGCUCCAACACAGAAACAUCAUCAUAAAAGGCAAUAACAAGAGAAAUCUGCUCACCUUGUGGUAGCCAAGAAGCAGAAAGACAACUGGAAAAAGAGAAAAAGGAAAGAAACCAAGCACAGUAAUAUAUCUUUCCAGGUUAUGCACCCAGGGACCUACUUCCUCCAACCAGGAUCCAUUCCUAACACUGCAUUCAGCUAUGAACUAAUCUGUGAUAAGGUUAGUGCCCCCAGGAUGUAAUCACCUUCCAGAACUUCUUCCUCUGAACAUGUGAACCUUUUAGAAGACAUUCUUGAUGCAAAUUAUAACAGCAGGUUUCAUACUACAAAAAAGGUAAGAGAAAAUUAUCACUAUGGAAUACGUUCCUGGCUUGUCAAGACUAUUUCAUGUCAUUAUCAUUGUCAUGUGCAUCUGCAUCCCAAGAAUACGACAGUUUGGAAUUUGGAUGACUAGAGCUGAGAGUUUUAAAUAGUAAUCUGUUUUCCAAAGGCAUAGAAAUUAUUGUUAUAAAAUAACUAUUUCUAUCUUUAUGUGCUCUUUACAGAGUCAGAUACAAAGAUUUCCAUUUUUAUUGCAGGGUCAUUUGAAAAUGUUAUAAAUACAAUUUGUUUUUGUAUUUUAAAGAGAAUAAAACCAAAUAAAAUAAAACAACAUAAAUCCAAUCAAACAAAACAGUGAAAGUGAUACAGAACUUCAAAACAAGGUAAUAGGAAAUCAACAAUGGCUACCAUAAUGCCUCUUGUUAUCUUCAAAAUAACUGCCCAUACCAUCAGACACAAUAAAAUCAAACAAAACAGAACAGAAUAAAACCAAUCAAAACAAAAUAAAUAAAGUGAUACAGGACUUCAAAACAAGAUAAUAGGAAAUCAACAAUGGCUACCUUGAUAGAUCUUGUCUUCAAAAUAGCUGCCCAUGCCAUCAGAUAUAAUAAAAUCAAAUAAAAUAAAACCAAACCAAACAAUGAAAAUGACACAAGACUUUAAAACAAAAUAAUGGGAAAUAAAUAAUGGCUACCACCUUUAGAAAGAAAUCUCCCAUAGUUGCUAUAUUGCAUAUUGUUAUCCUCUAAACAGAUUCCCAGAGCACUGGUUUUAGACCUGAAAAGUCAAUUAAACAAUACAGGCAUUGUUUUUUUUUUUUUUUUUUUUUUUUUACUCUGGUGGCUAUCAUCUCAGCCUUUGUUUCUCUGAAUCAGCCAGUUGCUUAUGGGGUGGGUGGAGAGCACCAGCUGGCUCACAGGAAGGUGGUAGGCCAGCCCACAACUGCCGCUGGCUCACAGGAAAGGGCUGGCUUUUUCUUGAUUCUCUUCCCAAGACACAUGGCUGCUUCUGGUUCACAUGAAAGAAUUGGCUCUCCCCACGACUGCUGCUGGCUCACAGGAAGGGGUUGGCUCACUGCAUGACCACCACUGGCUUACAGGAAGGGAUUGGCUUUUUAUUGGUUGUCUUCACAGGAUGCAUGGCCACUGCUGGCUCAUGGGAAGGAGUUGGCCUGACCCACAACUGCCACUGGAUCACAGGAAAGGGUUGGCUUCUUCUUGGGUCUCUUCCCAAGACUUUUUGCCCUGGGCAUGUGGCCUCGAUUUGAACAGUAAGCCAUACCACACAGAUUCUGAGAACAAACUUAUUUUUAAGAAAGGACCAGGGUCAAUGGAGAACCUCAGCAACAUUUAGCUUCCAGAAGCAGUAUCCAGUGUUCAGUUCAAUGAAGGCGGUGUGAUAAGUUGUGAAAGUUUUGAACAAUUUUCUAACCACUGGAAAAAAGAGUCCUCAUUCCACGCACAUCCCAUGCUUUGCUUUCCUGGGACUGGUCUUCUGUCAAAGGAGUUCUGCAGAGUCCAACUGCUGUCUCCUCGCUGCUCCUUCGGAUGCUUACAGUACAUUACUGGUCUCGCUGAUUACGUCACCCGUCAAGCUUCAGAGAAGACAGCUCACAGUGCAGGAAGAGAACGUGUGCACCUCACCACGCCGGCUCCUACAGGCCCUUUUGCUUGCUUGCUCUUCCCUGGGCGCCCACUACUACUGCCUGGCGUCCACUGCCCACCGGCCCCGCGCGCACGACCCUGUCUUGGCCUCCGCCCCGCGCAGAGCCUCCCGCAGCCAACGCCUCCUAGUCCCUGCGUGGCACCGUGCCAAGAAGCUCUUUAUUCUGAAAUUUCACAAGGUGUGACCACGUAAGAGCUCUUUUUACUUUGUGCUGUCAUUCUGCUGGCCUUUUCAUUUUCUGUCUUCCUUUUGCUCUAGGAAAACGUUUCUUUGUUCAUUUAUAUUUAUUUUUUCUCUGAUACUGUCAUCUUUUUCUUUAUUUCAUUUUGUUCUCUUAAUGGUUUUCAUUCCUCUCCUCUAUGACCCUUAUUGUGUUUGUAGUCCAAAGUGUUUUCCCUUGGGCACCUUGAAAUUGAAACUUUUGUUUCCAAGAUUACUUUGUGUUUUUCAUCCUUUUCAUGAGCUUAAUCAAUGCUCAUUUUACAUGUUCCUGCUUUUUUUCACUGAGUCGUUUUGAACUUAGUAGUCCAGGCAGAUCCUUAUUUUAACAUGUUUAAUUCAGGUUGCUGUGCUGUGUCAUAGUUUCUUUGUUUUGUGGGUGGUUUUUUCAGCUAGAAGAGCAUUUUGCCUGCUGACAUUUUGAUUCCCACUUUCUAUCUUCUAAUAAUAUAUGGGACAGACUGGUGCUGUAUAACAUUUUGAUCAACAACAAACCACAAACAUGAUAGUGAUCCUAUCAGAUUAUAAUGGAAACAAUUCCUGAGGCCUGGUGACAUCAUAGUUGUUAUCAUGUUAUAAUAUAACACAUUACUCACAUGUUUGUAGUAACGGUGAUUGUAUUAGUCACUGUCCCACCACUGGGACAAAAUAUCUAACAUCCAAACUUAGAGGAGAAAAUGUUUGUUUGCCUCAGAGUUUCAGUGUGUUCAUUUCAUAGUUGGCUGGCUCCAAGACAGAAACAGCAUGGUUUGGAUGUGGUGGAAGACAGUUUCUCAUCCUGUGACAGCCAGGAAGCAGAGGGAGCAGAGCCAAACAUAAGAAUAUACUCUUUUAGGUCACCAUACCAUGAUCCACGUCCUCUGACUAGGCCACACUGCCCACAGUAAACGAGGAUGACUCUAGCCAGCCCUUGGUUCCAAUCACCUACCAAAAGCCCCAUCUUUGAAAAUGAGACUUUUAGGCAGCAUUUUAGAUCUAAACCAUAACAGUGGUGUAAACAAAGCUACUGUGCUGCCAGUCAUAUAACUUUAUAGCACACACAAUUAUGUAGAGUAUGUAAAACUUGAUAGUAGCAAUAGAUGAUUAUAUCACUAGCUUAUGUAUUUACUAUAUUAUAAUUUUGUCAUAUUAGUUAGUUUGUACUCAAAAGAAUAUAUACAGCCUCAGAAAUUGAAUCCAGGCCCAUUACCCUGAGCUACACCCUCAGAGCAGUCUUAAAUUUGUGAUCAUCCUGCCUCAGCCUCCCAAAGUAAUAGGAUUAUGGAGUUGUGCCACUAUAGCCAGUUAAUGGGAUACUUCCUAUAUAUAAAGCUUUACAGAUUAUAUCUAAUUUCAAUUCUAGAUUUUACUAGAAAGCAAUUUAUUUGUGUGUAUCAUGAAUCACAAACAUGUUCCUAUCCUAAAGAAGUACUUAUCAAUGGGGGGAAAUAUUUUUGUUCAAGAUUAUUUACUGUCACAUUGUUCAUAAUAGGAAAACUUUAGAAAUAGCAGAAAGUCUUCUGUUGAGUAAGUUGUAUAGUCAUUUUAGGCACAUAAUUGUGAAAACUUUUGAAAAAACACGUUAGAUAUGAGAAAGUAGCCAUAGUAACAAUGACUAAAAGAAUGAUGGGAAGCUAUACAUCGAAGAAUCCUAUAUGUAAUAUAUAAAUCCAAAAAAGCAGGUUCAAAGUAUUUCAACAUACUGUCACUGAUUUUAUCUAAUUAUUGAUUUAU